rnacentral:rRNA from 1 species
GAUGGUAGUGUAUUGGACUACCAUGGCUUUAACGGGUAACGGAGGAUUAGGGUUCGAUUCCGGAGAGGGAGCCUGAGAAACGGCUACCACAUCUAAGGAAGGCAGCAGGCGCGUAAAUUACCCAAUCCUAAUUCAGGGAGGUAGUGACAAGAAAUAAAGAACUGAGGCCUUCGCUUCAGGAUCUCAAUGAGUAGAAUUUAAACCCCUUUACGAGGAUCAAUUGGAGGGCAAGUCUGGUGCCAGCAGCCGCGGUAAUA